GACCUAUUCCCUGCCACAUGAUCCUGGGGGCAGAUGGAUAGCUGAUCUCUGAGUGACUACAGUGAACAAAGAAAGAAAGACUCCUGCCAAACCUUGUGGACAGGUAGUACAAGCAAGAAAUUAACUUUUGUUCUGUUAAGUCUCUGAGAUGUUGGUUGUUGUUUUCCAUUGUAUAACCUACUUUUCUUGACAAAAACCCUCAUUAAAGCAGAGCCUGAGCUCCUCUCCACUAUUUAAAGAACUUGGGGAUCUAGAUCAGGACUAGCCAUCCUGGAGAUGUUCAGUAAAGAUUCUCUAAUUGAAUACAAAAUGUCCAAUAACAAAAUAUGGGUUUUUUGAAGGCCCAAUAGAAUGGGUCAUGUUUUAGUCUCAUUUUAUGAUUUAUUAAAGUCAAGGAUAGCAAAGAAAGUAAUAUUUUUUAAGAUGCUUAAAAUAGAGUGUUAAAGUAGGGGAGAGGUUCUUAACCUAUUCCCUUCACUCUUGUGUGAGAGAAGCUAUCAUUUAAAACCCUGGCUCUUUUCAUACUUCAAUCCUACUGAUGUUUUUCUUUUCUUUGAGACGGAGUCAGGCUCGAGUGCAGUGGUGUGACCUCUUGGGUUCAAACGAUUCGCCUGCCUCAGCCUACUGAGUAGCUGGGAUUACAGCUGCAUAUCACCAUCCUUGGUUAAUUUUUGUGUUUUUUAGUAGAAAUUAGGUUUCAACAUGUUGGCCAGGGUGGUCUCAAACUUUUGACCUCAAGUGAUCUGCCUACCUCAGCCUCACAAAGUGCCGGGAUUACUGGCGUGAGCCACCAUGCCUGGCCCCUACUGACUUUAAAAAUAUGAAGUUGUAUGGUUGAAAAGUAACAGAUUUUUCUUCCAUUUUCUUCCUUUUCUCACUUUUCAGUCAGAUAAUUGGAAUGUUCCCUUUGUAAGGUUGGGAAGAAGGACGAUCAAGUGGGUAGCUAGCUCCUUGCACCUCUGUGGAAGAGCUAAACUUCCUCUGUGAAGAGCUUCACCACAGGGCCCUUGGCACUGGGGACAGAGUGGCACAUUUAUACCAAGCACCCACUUCCACUUUCUCUCUAACACUUGAAAACUUUCACAGUACUUUUUCACUAAGGCUACUGUCAAGUCUGAAAAAUAAAGACAUUGUUUCACUUAGAA
rnacentral:lncRNA from 1 species